GAGGCCGUCCCGCAGAUCGACGUGCUCGAGCAACGAGAGAGCCGUGUUCGAUCGCUUCCUGUUCGCCUCCCACAUCCUUCCCAUCCAUUCUUAGUAUUCGGGAAAUACAGAGAGCGAGGAUUCUGUACUCCAUGGAGAAGCGAGACGCCGCACUGCGCGACGAAAGACUCAAUAAAAAGUUCCUCGAAGCGAAUGUGGAGAGUGCCUUUCACCCCGAUUCCGUCUGACCUAGAAGACGCGCUUCUUCCUCGCGGGAGCCACGAAGAGGAAGGAGAUCGACAGGAGAUUUGAAAAGUACCACGGAUGCGUUGUCCGACCGAUUCAUCGGCGACCUCGAUGGCACGCUAACCGUAAGAAGCCGAAGAAGCGCGAAUCAACGGCGGAUCAGCGCGCCUCGAGAGUAUCUCUAAUCGCGACCAGAGCGUUGACGUCGGCAGUGACAUUCUUAGGAUUUCGAUCCUGGCGCGCAAAGCGCUCUCUACACUCGCACCGGCACCUUCUACGGCGCGCCGCUCAUCGCCGCCGCUCGUCGACGCCGUUGCUACCCCGGCUCGGGCGUCAACACC